rnacentral:tRNA from 16 species
GCCCCCGUACCUCACCGGGAUAGAGGGUCCGCCUCCUAAGCGGAAUGUAGUGAGUUCGAGUCUCGCCGGGGGUGCCA